UGGGGAAUCUUGCACAAUGGGGGCAACCCUGAUGCAGCGACGCCGCGUGAGCGAUGAAGCCCUUCGGGGCGUAAAGCUCUUUCGACCGGAACGAUAAUGACGGUACCGGGAGAAGAAGCUGCGGCUAACUACGUGCCAGCAGCCGCGGUAAUACGUAGGCAGCAAGCGUUGUUCGGGGUUACUGGGCGUAAAGAGUGCGUAGGCGGUUUUCUAAGUUCGGUGUGAAAUCUCCCGGCUUAACUGGGAGGGUGCGCCGAAGACUGGGAAGCUGGAGUGUGGGAAAGGCAGGCGGAAUUCCUGGUGUAGCGGUGAAAUGCGUAGAUAUCAGGAGGAACACCGGCGGUGUAGACGGCUUGCUAGACCAUAACUGACGCUGGGGCACGAAAGCGUGGGUAGCAAACA
rnacentral:rRNA from 1 species